CAGCCGUAAACUAUGCUCGCUAGGUGUCAGGCAUGGCGCGACCGUGGUCUGGUGCCGGCAGGGAAGCCGUGAAGCGAGCCACCUGGGAAGUACGGGCCGCAAGGCUGAAACUUAAAGGAAUUGGCGGGGGAGCGACAACAACGGGUGGAGCCUGCGGUUUAAUUGGACUCAACGCCGGGACAACUCACCGGGGACGACAGCAAUAUGUAGGCCAGGCUGAAGACCUUGCCUGAAUCGCUGAGAGGUGGUGCAUGGCGUAGACGUCU
rnacentral:rRNA from 1 species